UUUCUCAACCCUUUAUAAAAUAAUACACUCUUCCCUGAGAGACUGAUGAGACUGAGAAAUCAAAUUAUCAUCAGAGAGACUCUUCUUCACUAGGAGAAGAGAAAAAAAAAAAAGGCACAACUAUGAGAAACAAAAGUUGCGAGAGAGAGAUAGAUUCGAGGAGUAUGUCGACGAGAGAGAGAGAGAGCAGGCAACAAACGUACCCAAACAAGUCAGAGAAGAGAGGUGCUCGUUGAUCGAUUUAUUUGACCUAUCGAUUGAUGGACUUGGCGACUCAUAAAUUGUGGUUUGACGAGCCUGCAGUGGAAACAAAAACCUUCUAAUCCGUCUGUGUAAAAUAUGGUACGGGUGAGGUUUGGGGGGGGGGACCUUGUUGUUUCCAUGGCGUAAUUCGCUUGGAAACGAGUGUUGUGUUACGAACACAGCUAGCUAGCUCUACCAAAAUCCAUGAAGGAGACCAUGAGCGAGCAACGUCCAAGAAGAAGAAGAGCCCCUCCAGGAUAAAGAGCCGUGUCAGAACCUGUUGCUACAACACACAGAGCAAGCCUCAGGAAAUAUCAACUUACCCUAAUUAACCAAAGCAAGCAGAGAUCAACAACAAGGCCAGGUUCUAAUUCGUUUUUUUCUUCUUCUUGUUCAUUCAACAGUUAUCUCUCCGGGAUGCGGGCAUCUGAAAGAUUAGCUAGGCAAUUCAGCUGAGGAUGGGAGGACCUUGUUGUUUCCAUGGCGGAAACGAGUGUUACGAACACAGCUAGCUCUACUAAAAUCCAUGAAUGAGACCAUAAGCAACGUCCAAGAAUAAAAAGACCCCUUCCAGGGAAUCGAGUGUUACUAGCUAGCACAGAGAUCAACAUUAAAUCCAGUAAUUUCCGGGAUACAAACGUUAGAGGUAUAAAACAAGGAGAACAUUCCUUUCCCAAACCACCACUGGCAGUUUUCUCAUGGAGACAAGUUGAUGAUCAUAGCUGGCUAUCUCUCUACCAAUCUGAUUCACGAGUAUCAAGCCAACCAAGGAUGCAGAGAUCAACAACAAGACCGCAUAUGCUAGUAAUCUCGGGGAUGUUGACGUCGGAACAGAUAUAAAACAACCACCACUUCAGGUUUCUCACGUGUGAGUAAUCAACACAGGGAAACGAGUGUUGAAAACAUAGCUAGCAAUACCAAACUGAAUAUGGAAAGUCAAGCCAGAACCAGAAACUGCAACGCUGCUACUCCACUGGACAAAACGAGGUCUUGCUCACACGCAAGUUUUAAGCUUGACCUGUGAAAAAGCAGAGAAC